UACGUGCCAGCAGCCGCGNUAAUACGUAGGUCCCGAGCGUUNUCCGGAUUUAUUGGGCGUAAAGGGAGCGCAGGCGNUCAGGAAAGUCUGGAGUAAAAGGCUAUGGCUCANCCAUAGUGUGCUCUGGAAACUGUNUGACUUGAGUGCAGAAGGGGAGAGUGGAAUUCCAUGUGUAGCGGUGAAAUGCGUAGAUAUAUGGAGGAACACCAGUGGCGAAAGCGGCUCUCUGGUCUGUCACUGACGCUGAGGCUCGAAAGCGUGGGUAGCGAACAGGAUUAGAUACCCUGGUAGUCCACGCCGUAAACGAUGAGUGCUAGGUGUUAGGCCCUUUCCGGGGCUUAGUGCCGGAGCUAACGCAAUAAGCACUCCGCCUGGGGAGUACGACCGCAAGGUUGAAACUCAAAGGAAUUGACGGGGGCCCGCACAAGCGGUGGAGCAUGUGGUUUAAUUCGAAGCAACGCGAAGAACCUUACCAGGUCUUGACAUCCCGAUGCUAUUCUUAGAGAUAGGAAGUUACUUCGGUACAUCGGAGACAGGUGGUGCAUGGUUGUCGUCAGCUCGUGUCGUGAGAUGUUGGGCUAAGUCCCGCAACGAGCGCAACCCUUAUUGUUAGUUGCCAUCAUUAAGUUGGGCACUCUAGCGAGACUGCCGGUAAUAAACCGGAGGAAGGUGGGGAUGACGUCAAAUCAUCAUGCCCCUUAUGACCUGGGCUACACACGUGCUACAAUGGUCGGUACAACGAGUUGCGAGCCGGUGACGGCAAGCUAAUCUCUGAAAGCCGAUCUCAGUUCGGAUUGGAGGCUGCAACUCGCCUCCAUGAAGUCGGAAUCGCUAGUAAUCGCGGAUCAGCACGCCGCGGUGAAUACGUUCCCGGGCCUUGUACACACCGCCCGUCACACCACGAGAGUUUGUAACACCCGAAGUCGGUGAGGUAACCUUUUAGGGGCCAGCCGCCUA
rnacentral:rRNA from 1 species